GAUGAACGCUGGCGGCGUGCUUAACACAUGCAAGUCGAACGAAGCAUUUGCGACAGAUUUUUUCGGAAGGAAGUUGCUUAUGACUGAGUGGCGGGCGGGUGAGGAACGCGUGGGUAACCUGCCUUGUACUGGGGGAUAGCAGCUGGAAACGGGUGGUAAUACCGCAUAAGCGCACAAUGUUGCAUGACAUGGUGUGAAAAACUCCGGUGGUAUAAGAUGGACCCGCGUCUGAUUAGCUAGUUGGUGAGAUUACAGCACACCAAGGCGACGAUCAGUAGCCGACCUGAGAGGGUGACAGGCCACAUUGGGACUGAGACACGGCCCAGAAUCCUACGGGAGGCAGCAGUGGGGAAUAUUGCACAAUGGAGGAAACUCUGAUGAAGCGACGCCGCGUGAGUGAAGAAGUAAUUCGUUAUGUAAAGCUCUAUCAGCAGGGAAGAUAGUGACGGUACCUGACUAAGAAGCUCCGGCUAAAUACGUG
rnacentral:rRNA from 1 species